rnacentral:rRNA from 1 species
UGGGGAAUAUUGCACAAUGGGCGCAAGCCUGAUGCAGCCAUGCCGCGUGUGUGAAGAAGGCCUUCGGGUUGUAAAGCACUUUCAGCGAGGAGGAAGGUGGUGAGCUUAAUACGCUCAUCAAUUGACGUUACUCGCGGAAGAAGCACCGGCUAACUCCGUGCCAGCAGCCGCGGUAAUACGGAGGGUGCAAGCGUUAAUCGGAAUUACUGGGCGUAAAGCGCACGCAGGCGGUUUGUUAAGUCAGAUGUGAAAUCCCCGGGCUCAACCUGGGAACUGCAUUUGAAACUGGCAAGCUAGAGUCUCGUAGAGGGGGGUAGAAUUCCAGGUGUAGCGGUGAAAUGCGUAGAGAUCUGGAGGAAUACCGGUGGCGAAGGCGGCCCCCUGGACGAAGACUGACGCUCAGGUGCGAAAGCGUGGGGCAGCAAACAGGAUUAGAUACCCUGGUAGUCCAGCGCUGUAAACGAUGUCGAUUUGGAGGUUGUGCCCUUGAGGCGUGGCUUCCGGAGCUAACGCGUUAAAUCGACCGCCUGGGGAGUACGGCCGCAAGGUUAAAACUCAAAGGAAUUG